GAAUCUGAAAUACAUUUGCAUUGACAUAAUAGGCUACAAAAGUAUAAUUCUCUUUUGAUGACAUGUACAAUCAUUCUUAUAAUGGGGCCAUACAGCAUAGAGACGAUUAAUAACUGUCAUUUUGCAUUUUUCGCUUGUGUUGUCAUAUGGCUUCAGUCCAGCUCCAGUGCUCUGAUCUCAAAUUGGGCAUUGAGCUAAACAGUUCUUCUGAGAGGCGGUCCAGGCAGUCUGAUAGGCCAGUACCCUCUCUUUGUCCAAACUAUUUCAAUCGCAUUGAAAUCCCAUUUCAAAUAGAUACUGGUGAGGUCAAUGAACCUGAACUUAGUGUACCAAUAUAAUACAACUAUUAUUGUCAAAGGUAUUUUUGAGACCAGCAGUGCAAAUUACUCAUCGAGUUGCGCAACAGGACAUUUUUGUGGGAAAUAAUGUCGAGGAGGAAAGUGCGGAAUCAACGCCCCGCCGAGAGCGAGGAGGACUCUGAUAUUGACAACCUGUUAGCCGCUCUGACGCUCGCGGAGGUGGAAGAGCUGCAGAGCGAACUGACCGUUAUUGACCCGGAUCCAACUGUGCCAGUCGGACUCCGGCAGAAGAACCAGACAGACAAGCAGCCGUCAAUAAAAUACAAUAGGGGGGCAAUGCUUGACUACUGUGAGCGCGAAACCAAGAAACUCAUUCAAAGGGAGCUGUCCUUUGAGGAGCCAACGACUGACAGAGUGAAACGGGAACGCCUGAAGAAGAUGGGGAAGAGCUGUGAUAGUUUCUUCUACUUCAAGUCAGAUGACCAGGAUGAUCAGGAUGUCAUGGACCUAAACUUCUCUGCUGUGGAGACCCCUAAGGAGGACAUAUCCAAGGACGAAGAGGAAAAACCCCAGAGCAAGAACUUGAAGGGUGAGGGAGGGAGUGGAGAGGGAAAUGAGGAAAGGCCACAUAGUAGGUUAGGGGGAAAUGAGGACAAAGACCAUGAAAAAAAGGAAGAUAAGAUUGUUGAAAAAAGCAAUGAAGUACAGGUUGAAGAAAAUGAGAAAAAGGAGGAGUGCAUAAAAAAGGAGAAGGGUAGUAACAAAACACUUGAUCUUAUCUCAAAAUUACAAACAAAAAAAGAAGAUACAAAAGAAAGGGAGCAAAAAGAUAUCAGAAAAAAUACCGUCUCUAAAACCAAGGAUCUGAUUUCAAAGCUUCAAGGACAUGCUGAUAAAGACGAUACUAAGGAGAAAGAGAAGAAAGAAAAACCUAAAAAAAUGAAGGACAGCAAGAUCGCAAGAGGAAUUUUCUCUAAAGUAGAGGAAAAGCAGAAAGAACUCAGGGGUACUGAGGUGAAUGAAAAGAGGAAUGAUGAGAAGGACAAAGAUAGCGAAAACACCAAAUCACACAGGAAACCAAGUAGAGUCCAGGAUGAGACACAGAUAGACAGUGAAAAGAAGACAGAAAGGACUCCUAAUAAAAACAGUAAAGCCAGCAAUGUAAACCUAGAGAACAGUAGUAGGGAAGAACGCUCAGCUGGUGAAGUCAUGGAGGGAGGCGAGGAGGACGAGGAGGCCAGCAUGUUUGAUGAGCUCCUUGAGCAUGUCAGAAAAGACGACCCUUUAAUGACCGAGCUCAAUGUCAACAACUCAGACGUCAUCAAGACCCACACCCUCAUCCAGUUUGCAGAGGCACUACAACACAACACACAUGUCAAGACGUUUGCUUUAGCCAACACCCGAGCUGACGACCAUGUGGCUUAUGCCAUUGCUGGCACUCUGCGGAACAACACGUCUCUGACCAACGUCAUCCUUGACUCCAACCACCUCACUGGCAAGGGAAUUUUGGCCGUGGUACACGCCUUAGAGAAAAAUGUAACCAUCACUGAACUGCGCUUCCACAACCAGCGACACAUCUGUGGAGGCAAGACAGAGAUGGAGAUGGCCAAUGUAUUGAGAAACAACACCAGGUUGCUGAAGCUGGGCUACGGCUUUGAACUGGCCGGCCCAAGGAUGACCAUGACCAACAUCCUGAGUCGGAACAUGGACCUGCAGAGGCAACGUCGACUGGAGGAGAAGAAACAAGCACAAGCCCAGCCAUCCCAGCAGCCACAGCCAUACCAGCCAACGCGUCAGACACCACAACCACAGACCAACACAAAAAAGAACAUAUUGCCUUUGGGGAAGUUUUCUUGCGAACCUUCAACUCAACCCCAAUCCAAGUCUGUUGGUGAGACUAAGAGGACAGGAAACCUCCUGAAAACAUCUCCCUUUUUGUCCCCCCAUAACCCCUCACCUGAACCCUUCCACAAGGGGAGCUCCAAAGCUGUGGGUAAGCUAAACCCUAAGGCUUGGGGUAGUAGGUCUGGACCAGGGUCUACAACCCCUCCACCUCAGGCUGGGGAUGGUGUAUCUGGUCCUGGGUCUACACCACCUCCACCUCAGGCUCUUAAGGCUGGCCGAUCUGGACCAGCUCCACCUCCUCCCCCUGCCCCAGUGUUGGAGGGCCUAAGGAAAGCCCUCAUGCCUGCCUCACAGAGAAAACUCAACGGGCAGACUUCACGCCACGGAGAGAGGAACACUAGGGACCAGUUGCUGGACUCCAUUCGCAACAGCACAAUGAAAGCUCUAAAAAAGGUUGAUGUUCCAAAGCUGCUUCAAUAAAGGUAAGACAAAAACAGCCCUGAGCCACUGCAAAUGAUGCUGGUCAAUGGAGACUGAUACGGUGACAGUAAGGGCAUUCGGGAGAAAAGUGGGUCUGUCCUCACAUGUAGAGUAUCUGUGGUGAAAUUAUUUUACAACUGAAAACAUGAAAAUGUAUCUGAAGUUUCUCCUUUACUUGCCAGUUCUAUGCUGUGAUGCAAAAUUGAGCAAAUUUGGAGCGCACGGAUAUGAAGGUGGAGCUUUAGACAUUGAGUGUUCAUAUCCAGAUGGAUAUCAAUAUAAACCCAAAUACUUGUGUCGCCAUCCCUGUUCCAACAGUGACAUUCUCAUCAGAAGUGUGAAGGGUGAAGCAUUUGUCCCAGUAGGAAGAUUUUCAGUGUAUGACAAUGUCCAUGGAUGUACUUUCAUUGUCAGCAUCCAAAACCUGGAAUUACAGGACUCUGGACAUUAUUAUUGUGGACUUGAUAAGUGGGGAAGAGAUGUUUUAACAAAAGUAGAGAUCUCUGUGAGUAAAGCUCCAUUGGUCACUUCACUGUCUACACCUGCCCCUGUGAUUGACAGGAAGGGCACCACUGAAACUAACAAAUAUGUUUCCUCAGAGAUCCCCACCUUUACACAGGUGCAAUACAAAAAGUUACCUGUUGCAGAUUGGGAUGUCACACCUCCAACAACCUCAACUAUUCGGAUUGGUAGCCCAGGCUUUGUAUGUGUCCACGUUGUUGUGGGAGCUGUCCUUGGACUAUUGAUGUGUUGCACUGUGGUUGCACUUGGUCUACUCCUCAGAAAACAAUCAAUGUCACGCUCACUGACAUUUCCAUCAUCUGAAUCCGAUCCUGUAGAUAUUGCACAGGAUGAAGAGGACACUUGUCAUGUGUAUGAUGAGAUAAUUAUGAACAGCUCCAACAGUGACUUGUACUGCACCAUAAGGUUUUGUGAAACACCACCGGAAAUAGAAGACAAUGCUCUCUACUCCCUCCUGACACUAAAUGAACAAAGACCUCAGUGAGGGUCACAAGUCUCUAAUCAACAGAGGGCAUUCGCACAACACUGCCAACACAUUGAUGGUGGAUGUGCAGUAUCAUUAUUGAUAUUAUGUGUGUGUGUGUGUGUGUGUGUGUGUGUGUGUGUGUGUGUGUGUGUGUGGGGGG